rnacentral:rRNA from 1 species
UUAAAGAGCCGCGGUAUUUUGACCGUGCGAAGGUAGCAUAAUAAUUAGUCUCCUAAUUAGAGGCUUGUAUGAAUGGUCGGACAAGAUGGAAACUGUCUCAACACAAUAAAUAAAAUUUAAUUUUUAAGUAAAAAAGCUUAAAUGUAAUGGAGGGACGAUAAGACCCUAUAAAGCUUUAUGGUAUUCUUCUUUUUUAUAAAUUGUUUUGUUAUUAACUUAUUUUAGAAUUUUUAUCAUUUUACUGGGGCGGUAAAAGUAUAAUAAAGAUUAACUGCUUUUAUUUUGUGUAACAAUUUUAUUUGGAAAUAAAUUGAUCCAUUAUUAAUGAUUAUAAGAACAAGUUACUUUAGGGAUAACAGCGUUAUUUUUUUUGAGAGUUCUUAUCGAAAAAAAAGUUUGCGACCUCGAUGUUGAAUUAAGGUUACCUUAAGGUGCAGCAGUUUUA